rnacentral:rRNA from 1 species
GAUGAACGCUGGCGGCGUGCUUAACACAUGCAAGUCGAACGGAAAGGCUCCUGCUUGCAGGGGUACUCGAGUGGCGAACGGGUGAGUAACACGUGGGUGAUCUGCCCUGCACUUCGGGAUAAGCCUGGGAAACUGGGUCUAAUACCGGAUAGGACGAUGGUUUGGAUGCCAUUGUGGAAAGUUUUUCGGUGUGGGAUGAGCUCGCGGCCUAUCAGCUUGUUGGUGGGGUAAUGGCCUACCAAGGCGUCGACGGGUAGCCGGCCUGAGAGGGUGUACGGCCACAUUGGGACUGAGAUACGGCCCAGACUCCUACGGGAGGCAGCAGUGGGGAAUGUUGCACAAUGGGCGCAAGCCUGAUGCAGCGACGCCGCGUGGGGGAUGACGGCCUUCGGGUUGUAAACUCCUUUCGCUAGGGACGAAGCGCAAGUGACGGUACCUGGAGAAGAAGCACCGGCUAACUACGUG